rnacentral:lncRNA from 1 species
AGAUUUUGUGGGGUAAGAAGAACCAUUAGGAUUAUUAUCAACAUUGUAAGAGCUUACUAAAGCAAAAAAGAAAAGGUUAACAGAGAAGAAAAGAGCAGUUGAUAACUUAACCUUUGAAGCCAUUUUUCCAAUAGAGAAUAAUUUGAUUUCACUGAGAAAAUGGACUGCUUCCUACGAUGAAGGUGAUGAAGUGAUCAAAGGGUUUUUAUAGAACACAAAGAUGAGGUUUGAAACUAGAAAAUGAAAGCCACUAAGUCAUAUCAUUUGGAGAAUUUGGAUAUUUUAAGAUAUGUUUUCGUUGGCUUUGAUUAAGAAAUCUCCCAGAUCUAUGAAUGAGUUGUUAUUAUAAUUAUAUAUCGUAAUCCCAAGUAUGGGACCAAGCCGCAAUUUUAAAUUUUAAUUAUGAAUCAUAAUUUAUAUAUUUACACUAGUACAACCUUGCUAUGAUUACUUGCAAAUAAAAAUGUUCAUGAACCAGGUUAUUCAUUCAAACUCGAAGGUGCACCUAAAAUUUUGAGAGGAUUUAGACAAAAGUAUUAGGUUCGAAAUUGAGAUUGGAUGAAAAAUUGGUUCAUUUAAAAUAUGAACCGAGUUUGGACAAGAGCUACAUGGGCUACCACACAACCAUGUGACAGGCCGUGUCGAUUUCGCGAAUUGCACUCCGAACAGUGGAAAAACGUGAUUUUUAGGGUUUUUCGAGCAUUCUGAGAACUAUAUAUGACAAAAAUAAGAAGAUAGUUGUGAGCCGUCAUAGAAUAUUCAAGAAAACAACUCGAAAAACAACAUUGAAGCUGAUUCUAAAGUAAUUUUCCGUCAAGAUUGAAGAUUCCUAGUUGAUUUCUUAAGAGAUUAUCAUGAGUUUCUUUAUUUCUUUUGGUUAUACUGUCUCUGGGAUAUUUUUAUUUUCAAGCAUGAACUAAUUUUCUAAAUACCUAGGGGGAGAUGAACCCCAUGAUGAAUUCUAUCGUUUGAUUUUUAUUUUAAGCAAUAAAUACUUGGAUCUUGUUAUUAAUUAUGUGUGAUUGAUUCUUGGUUUGAUAUUUCUAAAUUAUUGAUCCAUAUUUGAUGUACUUAAAUCAGAGGAGGAAUAGACACUGCUUAACAGUAGAUCUUGAGUAAUUUAGUAGAAUUGCAUGCAAUCCUAAAAAUAGGACGACAUAAAUCUAUCGAAUUAGAGUCAAAUCUAAUAGGGGACUCCAUAAAUCGAGUUAAUGCGAUAGUAGGGGUUUUAAUUAGAAAGAAAUUUCAAUUAAUCAACCUAGAGUCAGUUGCUCUACUCUCGAAAGAGUUAUUAGCAUAGUUUAGGGAUGUUGUAAUACCUUGAUUAAUUUAAGCCUGUUUUUGUGAAAUUUAACAAUUAUGUAUAUGUUUCAGUGGUUAAGUGUUUUGGGUGUGUGUAUGAGGUCUUGGGUUCAAGUCUCACAUCUAAUAAUUUUGCUAUUUUAGAUCCAAACCUUACCCUUGUUGAGUGGGCUUAUAUAAAACUGUCUGUUAAUCUAUAUUAGAAUAAGCUUGCUGGUUUGAGUGGUAAGGGGUUGUUGUGUUGGAGUUCUUGUGUUUGAAUCCUUGUGUGAACAUGGAUGUUAAAAUUUUUGCUCGGUUGUUUGGUCGAGUUUCGGCAUAGCUAAAAUUCUGAGGUAGUUGAGAUUGAGUGUUGGUGGGGAGUUGGGAUUGUAAUCAAUUUGUUAAUUUUAUUUCCUGUUUUUCAAUUUUUCUUCCUAUUCUUUACCAUUUUCAUCUUCCUCUUCCUUUCCGAUGAUUUUGUUUUUCAUCUUUUUAUCUGCUGUCGUAAUUUCGCAUCUCGAUAUUUUGGUGUUCUUUGUGCAUUUUUGGUAAGUGUGGUUAUGUUUUGGUUAGUGAAUCAUUGGUUGAUAGGGUUCGUUAUUGUUGCUUAGGAGAAGAUCAAGGGGCUGGGGGCUUCCAAUUGGUGCUAUAGUUGUACGAAAUCACCAUUGCCCAUUCGAAGGUAAAGGUUUUGAUUCAAUAAAGGAUUGUCUAUUUCAAUGUAGUUACGGUUUAGUUUCAAUUUAAGCGACUAAUUCGGCAAUUUAUUGGUCAAUUUUAGGUGUUGUGUGGCUCGGGAGUGUUUUCGCAUAAAAAACGAUCCAGGUGUGUUCCCAAAACGCAGAAAAUUGGGUUUCGGCAAAAGCCAAAAAAGUGUUCUGUCGAUGCCACACGGUUGUGUGCCUGGCCGUGUUGUAGGCUGUGUUCAAGACACGGUCGUGUGUCUGACGAAGGUGCGGCCGUGCUCAAGACACGACCGUGCGAUGGUUGAGUGUGGCCGUGUGGGCCACACGGGCUAGGCCAUAUUGGGCGUAUGAGCCUACACGGGCAUGUGGGUUUUGGGCCAGGCCUUGUGGACCACGCGGGCAAGGCCAAUCUGGGCGUGUGGGCCGCACAGCAUGUAGGCCCAAAAUUCUAAAAUUUUCCCUAAGAUUGCACGGGUCGUUCCAAUUGACUGUGGACCUACCGUAGAGUCGCUAAAGGCUAACCAAACUCUAAAUUAUGUGAUCUGAUAUUCUGGUAGUAUGCUUUGAGUAGGACACCGUUAUGCAUGUCUGAUUAUUCUGUUAUAUAUAUGUAUAUGUUAUCUGUACGCAAGCAUGUUAAGCAUGAUAUUUCUGUAUCUGGAUAUUGUAUUUAUGACCGGGGUGAGAAUCGUAUAUGUGGAGGAAGUAAUCUGUACAGCGACCUGUCACCUAUAUUCUGGCAGCUUGGCUGCAUAUUAUUUGUUCUGUGUUGCAUGUGUAAGGUCUUUCUUGUCACAUUCAGGUGGGCAAGGACCUAUUUUGAGCCAAAAACAGAGAUUUAACCAGACAAAGGUUGCUUUUAUCUAUCGGCUUUUCCAGUUUUUUGAAAAUCAUCAAAUUUCGUCUAAAAAGCCACAGCCUUCCUGCCAGUAUUAAUUCCAGAUCCUCCUCUUCUUCAAAUUCAAUCAUGAACAAGUUUUGACCAGAAAUUUUGAUCUCAAAUUUCUUUUUUGUUUUCCAGAUACUCUUCAAUUGGGCUCGAAACCUAUCUGGAUUGUAGGUUUUCAUUGUCCAUACAAUCCCUAAAAGAGUCAGCUUUCCAUUGGGGACCACCAGGGAGCUUUUGACAGUCAAAUGUACCGAUUCUUCUUCCAGGAGAGAGAUAUCAUCCCUCGCCAUAGCUAUCUUUGUCACCGCCCUACUCAAGACCCAACCACAGCAGACUUAUUUCUUUGGGAGACUAUGAGAGAGCACUCUUGACUUUUUUUUUGCUACAUAAAAGAAAUUCUUAAAACAUGAAAGAAUUGUUUAAAUUUUGAAAAAAAUUCACUUUUUUAAAGAUAUUAUUUUAUUCCAAUUUUUUUCAAAACAUAUUAGCUGUGCCAAUUUUAAUUUAUAUCAAGAAAAAGAUCAAAUUUGUAUAAAUUGUUAUAAGAAAAUACUAUAAUUUAUAAUCUCCAUUAAUUAUCUCAUAGCAUUACAAUUGAUUGGGAUUUUCAUAGACAUCUUAAUUUAUUACUUGGAAAAUGCAUCCUUAUUACACAAAUAAAUUAAGACAAGUAAAGAAAUUAUUACAGGAGAUGAAAGAAAUUAUUACAGGAGAUGAAAGAAAUUAUUACAGGAGAUGAAAGGGAAAGGUUGAAGAGUCUUUCCUUUAUGAAAAAACAACAAUUCGAGAACUGCUAUGAAAUGAAUCAAAGAGAGAAUCCAUCAAACAAUCGAUAAAAGAAUAAUCAAAGACAAUUUUCUAAAACGACAAUAUUUAUGGAGCGCAAAUGUAUUCAGUAGCCACCCUUCUUCCACAAUUAUUGAGUAAGAGACUCAAUGAAAUAGGAAGGUUGAGUUUAAUGUCCAAGACAUUAGCUCGGACAGCAGUGCAAAGGCAAACCGCAGCUUCAAGAUCAGCCAACCCAUGGAUCAAACUGCAGCAUGGUUGGGUUGGUACGUUGCCGAGGUCGAGAUUCACCAAACCACCCAACAGAUUAACACACACACCCAAGGUUCAAUGGAUUACAAGUACCAUAAUAACUUUGAGCGCUACCAUCGUUGGGAAACUUGUAUCCGGGACGGAUAACAACAGGGUUCCGAGAUUUUGUGGGGUAAGAAGAACCAUUAGGAUUAUUAUCAACAUUGUAAGAGCUUACUAAAGCAAAAAAGAAAAGGUUAAGAGAGAAGAAAAGAGCAGUCGAUGACUUAACCUUUGAAGCCAUUUUUCCAAUAGAGAAUAAUUUGAUUUCACUGAGAAAAUGGACUGCUUCUUACGAUGAAGGUGAUGAAGUGAUCAAAGGGUUUUUAUAGAACACAAAGAUGAGGUUUGAAACUAGAAAAUGAAAGGCACUAAGUCAUAUAAUUUGGAGAAUUUGGAUACAUUAAGAUAUGUUUUCGUUGGCUUUGAUUAAGAAAUAUCCCAGAUCUAUGAAUGAGUCGUUAUUAUAAUUAUAUAUCGUAAUCCCAACCAAGGACCAAGCCGAAGUUUUAAAUUUUAAUUAUGAAUCAUAAUUUAUAUAUUUACAUGAGUAAAACGCUGCUAUGGUUAUUUGUCAAGUUAUUUAUCCAAACUUGAAAGUGCAUCUAAAAUUUUGAAAGAAUUUAAACAAAAGUAUUAAGUUCAAAAUUGAGGUUAGACGAAAAAUAAAUUCAUUUAAAAUAUGGAUCGAAUUUGGGCAAGAGCUAGACGGGCUGCCAAACCACCAUGUGGUGAAAUCUAAAAAUUAAUUAUUGACGGCCUCAGACGAUGAAGUUGGUGAAACGAUCAAAGGGUUUUUAUAGAACAAAAAGAUGAGCUUUUAAAGAUAGAAAAUGGAAGUCACUAAGUCAUAUUAUUUGAAGAAUUUGGAUACUUUAAGAUAUGGUUUCGUUGGCUCUAAUUAUGGAAUCUCCCACGUCUACAAAUGAGUUGAUAUUAUUAUCAUUUUUUUUCUAAUUGCGAAUAUGGUUUAAAUUUUAUUUAUUAAUCAUAAUUUAUAUUUAUUUACGUUGAUGAGUUGGUUUAUUCAUUAUCUUGAAAUGAUGUUACAAAUUGAGUGCAAGAUUUUUAUUAUUCAGAUCAUGUGGCCAGGUUGUGUGACAGAUUCCAGGUCGUGUGGUUUAGAGGCAUCGUCGUGUGGUCAAACUAUAUACAGUUCGAAUACAGGGUCACAUAGUCAUGUUAUCAGGCCGUUUGCAAUUCGAAAUUAGGUCACAUGGCCUGUGACCAUGUGGGAAAACUUGCACAAAAACUAAAUAAGUUACAUGGCCGUUUGGGGUGACCGUGUGUGGUACACGGCAUGUGACAACCCGUGUCCCAUGUCGUGUGCACCUAAAAUGACUUUCAAAACAAGACAAAUCAUCACUCAUUUCUUAGGUACCAAGCCAAACCAAUUUCAACCAAUUUCACACCUUCAAAACACAUUCAAACAUGCUUAAAACAUACCAAAACAGUCAACCUAAGUGUCUAACCAAUUUGCCCUCAUUAGCAUCACAUUUCAUACACCAAACCAAAUUCACAUUCAAAGAUCACAAGCCCUUAUGUUAUACACAUGCCAAACAUAUCAGUUUGUCCACUCUAUUCACAUACAAUUUUACCAUAUCUCAACCAUUUUCAAGAAGUAUAAACCAAAUAACCAAAAGCGCACACACACACACACAUAUAUAUAUAUAUAUAUAUAUAUAUAUAUAUAUAAUAAUAAUAACUAACAANNNNNNNNNNNNNNNNNNNNNNNNNNNNNNNNNNNNNNNNNNNNNNNNNNNNNNNNNNNNNNNNNNNNNNNNNNNNNNNNNNNNNNNNNNNNNNNNNNNNNNNNNNNNNNNNNNNNNNNNNNNNNNNNNNNNNNNNNNNNNNNNNNNNNNNNNNNNNNNNNNNNNNNNNNNNNNNNNNNNNNNNNNNNNNNNNNNNNNNNNNNNNNNNNNNNNNNNNNNNNNNNNNNNNNNNNNNNNNNNNNNNNNNNNNNNNNNNNNNNNNNNNNNNNNNNNNNNNNNNNNNNNNNNNNNNNNNNNNNNNNNNNNNNNNNNNNNNNNNNNNNNNNNNNNNNNNNNNNNNNNNNNNNNNNNNNNNNNNNNNNNNNNNNNNNNNNNNNNNNNNNNNNNNNNNNNNNNNNNNNNNNNNNNNNNNNNNNNNNNNNNNNNNNNNNNNNNNNNNNNNNNNNNNNNNNNNNNNNNNNNNNNNNNNNNNNNNNNNNNNNNNNNNNNNNNNNNNNNNNNNNNNNNNNNNNNNNNNNNNNNNNNNNNNNNNNNNNNNNNNNNNNNNNNNNNNNNNNNNNNNNNNNNNNNNNNNNNNNNNNNNNNNNNNNNNNNNNNNNNNNNNNNNNNNNNNNNNNNNNNNNNNNNNNNNNNNNNNNNNNNNNNNNNNNNNNNNNNNNNNNNNNNNNNNNNNNNNNNNNNNNNNNNNNNNNNNNNNNNNNNNNNNNNNNNNNNNNNNNNNNNNNNNNNNNNNNNNNNNNNNNCGCAGCUUCAAGAUCAGCUAACCCAUGGAUCAAACUACAGCAUGGUUGGGUUGGUACGUUGCCGAGGUUGAGAUUCGCCAAACCACCCAACAGAUUAAGACAUACACCAAGAUUCAAUGGAUUACAAGUACCAUAGUAGUUAUGAGUGCUACCAUCGUUAGGAAACUUGUAUCCAGGACGGAUUACAACAGGGUUCCGAGAUUUUGUCGGAUAAAAAGAACCGUUUGAAUUAUUAUCGACGUUAUAAGAGCUAACUAAAGCAAAAAAGAAAAGGUUAAGAGAGAAAAAUAGAGCAGUUGAUGCCUUAACUUUUGAAGCCAUUUUUCCAGUAGAAAAUUAUUUGAUUUCACUGAGAAAAUGGACUGUUUUGAUGAAAGAAAUCUAAAAAUUGCUUAUUGACUGCCUCAGAUGAUGAAGGUGGUGAAAUGAUCAAAGGGUUUUUAUAGAACGCAAAGAUGAGCUUUUAAAGCUAGAAAAUGGAAGUCACUAAGUCACAUGUUUUGGAGAAUUUGGAUACUUUAAGGUAUGGUUUCGUUGGCUCUAAUUAUGGAAUCUCCCACGUCUAAUUAUCAUUAUUUCUUUUCUCUAUUUGCAAAUAUGGGAAUAAGCCAAAGUUUUAAAUUUUAAUUACGAAUCUUAAUUUAUAUUUAUUUACGUUGAUGAGUUGGUGAGUGUGAGAUUGUAAUCAUUCAGGUAAACUAUUAAAUUAUUAUUAAGUUUACAAAAAAUUAUAAAAUGAUGAUUAAAUUAUUAGAAAGUUUUUUAUUUAUGUCAUUGGAUGUAAGGUAUGUUAUUCUACUCGUUGAUAGAUAUUGAUCCACCAUAUCAAUUGUCAAAUCGUUGGUUUGAGCUCACUUGCCAAAACUAAUUUUUUAAACAAAAACCUUAAUGACUUAGUGACUUAAAUAAAAAUUUUAAUUAUGUAUAAUAAUUUAUAUUUAUUUGCGAACCAAAAUCUAAACAACUGACGAAUUGAUCUUCGAUAUUGACAAAUUGGUGAUUAUUCACAAAUUUAAUUUCUUCUAACUGAUUUUUAGGACGUGAUAAGUGACAAAGAAAAUCAAAAGUUGUGAUGAAGUGAGGAAAGGGUUUAUAUAGAAAGAAGGGAUGAACAUAAAAACUAAGUAAAUGAGAGGCACUAAGUGAAAUUAAUUGGGAUACAGAAAUAUUUGAUUUGCUGGCAAAGAAUGGAAUUUCCCCUCUGUAUGAAGAUUAUUCGAAUCCAAUAGGCCAAUUUUUAAAUAAUAACAUGAGCACAACGUUGUCACUAUCAUAACUACAAUUAAUUUAGUACUUUGCAUUGCAAAUAUCAUGUCACCAGCUCACAGCAAAAGACAGUACAUAUUGCAAAUUUGUAGCUUUAAUAUUAAUUAAAGAUUAAAAACACUCUAAUAAUUAGUCUCACAAGUUGCUCAAAUUUAAUUAACUUAAAUACUUAAGUCGUUAAAACAUAAACCAAUAAGAGUUGAGCUAAAUUCGAGUUUUCCUUACUUGAAACCACAAAUUAUGUAUCAAUAGGUAAAAUGCCUUUGUGAUUAUUUUAAAUAAAUUAUUUCUAAUGUAAGUAGGUUUCAUGUGAUUUUAUACGUUUAAUUUUUAAUUAAUUAAUUGUUGAAUAACUUAUUUUUAAUUAUUGUUACCUAUUAUUGAUAAUGAUGAUUUCUCUUAAUUAUUAAAAAAUAUAUAUGUCGAAAUCUUUUUUUUUUGAAAAACGGGGUUGACUUGGAUUUUGAAAAAAAAAAUGGGAGUCGCCACCAAUCUUUUAUUGAGGUGUGAUUGGAUCACCUAAAAACGACUUUGGUCUACGAGUUUUAGAGAAACGGGUUCGGGAGUCAGUUACGUACGAUGAAGGAUUAGCACCCUCGUAACACCCAAAAAUUGGUACCAAGUUGAUUAAUUAAUGUCUUAAUAUCGAGAGUUGAAAAAAAUAUUGAUUCUUAAUUAAAUCAAGUUAUUCAUCAAGACUCUCCCAUUUUGAAGAAAACAAACGUCACAUCCAAUGCGUUAGGGCACAACAUUUUAGUUCUUCAAGAACGAGUUUGUCCUCAAAAGAUUUGUGUUAUAAAAUUUAAGAGAAUAUUUAAAUGUUUAAAAUUUAUAAAGGAAUCGCAGCCCAAUACAUUAGGGCACAAUUUCUUAAAAUCUCAAACAUUGAAUAUUUCAUUUAUUAAUUUUAAAAAUACUUGUCUCGAGAAGUCAACACGUCACAUCCAAUGCAUUAGGACACAGCAUGUUGAAUUCUCGACAACAAGUUUUUCAUUUUAUUUUUGAUUAAAGAGCAAUUCUUGAUCGUUAGAUUUAACGAAGAAAAUUGGAACCUAAUACGUUAGGGCUCAAUUUUAUUGAAAAUCCUAAAUACGAGUAUUAUCUCUAUUUUGAAAAUUUUCUAUUUUUUUAAAAUCGAGUAAAAAGAUGAUGUAAUGUUAGAUUGAAUGCAUGUAUAAAUUCCGCUUUAACAAAUAAUGAUAAUGAAUACAACAAUGACAUAGAAAUAAUAUAAACAAAUAAUAAUCGAAACUAAUAUACAUAAGAAAGAAAAUAAUCAAUGACAUGCAAAGUGUUGAAUAAACGAGCAAGAUAAAAUAAUGUAAAUGAAAGCACAAAAUAAUAAACAAAUGAAACAAACAAACAAAAAAUAUAAAGAAUAAAAGGGUACAUAAUAUACAUUGAAAUUAUGAAGAAAAAAACAUAUGAAAUUUUGGAUUAUAAACUUAUAUAAACAAAAGUCAUAAUGCAUUUAAGAAAAUAAAUAAAAAAUAAAUAAGUAUAUAUAUAAAUUAUAAAAUAUGUGUUAAAAAUAUAAGUAUGUAUUUAAGCAUUUUUGAAAAUAAAAAAAACAUAGGUAUAUAUAUAUAAAUAUAAAUAUAUUUAUUAGAAAAUAUAUAUAUAUGUACACAUAAAAUAUAUUAAAAAUAAUUAAAUAAUAUCUACAUUAUCAAAAUUAAUUAAAUAAUAAAAAAUAAACAUGUGUACAUGAGAAAAGUAUUAAUUAGAAAAAAUAAAUAUGUGCAUAAGGAAACAAUAAAUGUACAUAUAUAUAUAGAUUUUAAAAAAAUAAUUUCAUAAAAAAAUAAUAAUUACAUUAUUUAAUUAAUUAAAAAAAUAAAUCGAAUUGCAGAUAACAAAUAUGGGGCAAAUCCGCAAAUAAGUGAAGGUAAAAGGACUAAAUUAAACACGCAAAUUACAUAGAGGGGCUGGAUGGGAAAUUUUCCCUUCUCCUCUAAAACGGCAUCGUUCAAAGAGGACUAAAUUGAAAUUAAAAAUAAAUUAAAGGGAUAAAUUUUAAAAAUAAAAAAACUUAAUUGUAAAAACAUUAAGAGGCGGAGGGGCUAAAAGCGCAAUUUCCCCUCCGCAUAAAACACGGGCGGAUCGGGUCGGGUACCCAAAACGACGCCGUUUUGGGCGUCUGGGGGCCUCUCCAAAACGGUAUCGUUUUGGUACCCUAUAUAAGCCACUAACUUCCCAAAAUAAAUCAUUUUAAACCCUUUUUAAAAAAAAAUAAAACCUUUUUAAAAAAUCCUCUCCCAUUAAUGAGUCUGGCUAGGGGCUCGAGUAUCGGUCUCCGGCGACGGCACCGCCGUCUACGGUGGCCGAAAAAGGGGAAAACCUCAGAUCCGGUCUUUUCGACCCUUCCAAACCUGGAUCCGAGUUCAAAACCCUCAAAAGGUUAGCAGAAAUGCCUCAAAAACCCAAAACCCUUUCGGUUUUCGGCCGUCUAUCCUCGAAGGCGACUUCCUCUGCCGUCCACGGCGAUUGGGACUCGAAUACAGGUUGUUUCACUUCCUUUUGUAUUUAUAUUUAUUUGUAUGCAAAAAAACAGUAAACUAAAGUAAGGAGAAAAAAAUAUAGACUUUUGGAUCGAUUUCUAUUCUUUCAAUAUUGAAUUCUCUUUUUGUAUUUGCUGUGAAAAUAAUUCUUUGUUCUUAUUGAUUUCCCCUCCUCUUAUUUACAAUAUUUGAGUGUGCCUUUAUAGUAAAUAAUGAAAGAAAAAUAAGGUAAGAAAUCUCUCUAGUAUCUGUUUCAUUCACGAUCUUCUGAUUUUCUUGCCAUAUAUUGUUCAUUGUUUUUCUUGCCGUGCAGGUAUGAAUUUGAAGAUGCGGGCUAGGUGGCUGCGUGAGGAGUGCGAGGCGGUCGUGCGGUGCGCCCUAGGGUUCCAUCUGCUCCCAGAGCAUUGAUUUGGGCUAGGGUUUGAUUUGGGCAUCCGUUUUGCCUGGGCUUGGGCCAUAUAGGCCGAUUGUAAUUUGGGCCUUUUACCCGGGCAAAAUCAGGUAUUUACAAUAUAAAUUUGAAAUUAUAAAAGAAAAUAAAUUAUAAUAUUAAUUUUUUUUAAAAAAAAGAUAAAGCAACAUGUAACAAUUAUAAUAACAAUUCAUGAUAAAUACAAAAGAUAUUCACAAUAAAAAAUACAAUAUUAUGAGUGCUUGCUUCACACAACAAUACAAUAAAUUAUUAUAAGAAAAUACUAUAAUUUAUAAUCUCCAUUAAUUAUCUCAUAGCAUUAUAAUUGAUUGGGAUUUUCAUAAAUAUCUUAUUUUAUUACUUAGAAAAUGCAUCGAAGUAAAGAAAUUAUUACAAGAGAUGAAAGGGAAAGGUUGAAGAGCCUUUCCUUUAUGAAAAAAACAACAAUUCGAGAACUGUUAUGAAAUGAAUCAAAGAGAGAAUCCAACAAACAAUCGAUAAAAGAAUAAUCAAAGAAAAUUUUCUAAAACGACAAUAUUUAUGGAGCGCAAAUGUAUUCAGUAGCCACCCUUCUUCCACAGUUAUUAAGAGACUCAAUGAAAUAGGAAGGUUGAGUUUAAUGUCCAAGACAUUAGCUCGGACAGCUGUGCAAAGGCAAACCGCAACUUUAAGAUCAGCCAACCCAUGGAUCAAACUGCAGCAUGGUUGGGUUGGUACGUUUUCGAGGUCGAGAUUCACCAAACUUGAUACGAGCCAAGGAGGUGACACUCAAGGGGUUGUUUUUCCUAGUGGUCCAAUCACUCGAAGCAAGGCACGACAAGUAAAAUCAAAGAUGAAUGCUUUUGUCCAAGAUUUUGUUGCUACAAAUUUAAUUCAUCAUGGUCAUGACGUUGACAAAUACGAGAAUGCAAUUCACUGGACCAAUCUUGGAAUAGUGAAAGCCCAUAAAUUGGUGGAUUAAUCUUUUAUAUAUCUUAUUAUUAUUAUUUACUUAAUUCUCAUUGGUUGGGACACAUCACUUAUGAGUUUUAAGUAAUUUUAUUGGCUAGGUUAAUAUUUAUUUAUUUUUUUAGAUAAUUCUAAAGAGUUUUAUUAGGAUUCAAUUAUUUAUUUUCUUAGAUAAUUUUAAAGAGUUUUAUUAGGGUUCAAUUACUCUUGUCUUUUGGCUAUAAAUAGGCUUGCUUUCUACACAUUGAAGGAGGAAUAAAAAAAAGUAUUUGUUUUCUUUCAAAUUUGUGUGAGGCAAAUUUUUGAGAGUAGAGUGAUUCUUCUCUUGCUAUUUAGUUUGGAGUUUGUUUCUUUCGAGGGUAUUUCGGAGUUACAAAUAUUCAAAUUUCUUUCCUGUUCAUCAAUGUUUCUAGCAGUUUUUCUUCUAGGGGUUUCGUAGGGAGCCACUCAAUCAUUGGCGUUUUUGGUUACAAGUUAACCAAGGGUUCUAUAGGGUAAAUCUAUUUUUUUAUUACUAUUAUUUAACUAAUUUUAUUUAUUCUCAUUGUUUAUUUCUAAUUUGUGUUUCUCUUGUGUCUAGAUCCGGGAUUCCGCAUCAGUUGGUAUCAGUUUCAGGCCAUUCGGUGUUAUUUUUGAAGCUAAAAUCAUAUCUGAAAUGAGUCAAAAUAUCAAAAACACUUUUCAUCGGUUUCGUCAAUUUUUUUCAUCGGUUUCAUCGAUUUUUUUUAAAAAAGUAGUUAAGAAAAAAAAGCAAAAAGCGCAAAAAAAAGUUGAGAAAAAUCGUAAAAAAAAAAAGCAAACAGCGCAAAAAAAAAGUUGUCUACCUCUCAUACGUAGGUUUCUUCUUUUCCUAUUAUUAUUUUUAUUUUUAUUUUUUCCAAAAUUGAAUUUUUUUCCCUUCUUUUCUUGACUCAAGUAUAAUUAAAGCUUCAAUUUUUUUUGAAAAUCUUAAGACACCGAACGUUUCUGAUUUUUGUUUUUUUAAAAUUGGGUAGAGUUUUCUUAAGUUUUCUUCUUAUUAAAGCUUUUCUUUGACUCUAGAGUUAGGGAUCGUUGCAGGUUUACGUUUUUUUUUUUGUUUCUCUUACGCUUUCUAACACUUUGUUUCUUCUUGUGUUAGCAGAUAUUAAAGGCACGCACAAUUCCUUCAUCCGUGUAGCCUCCAUUACAAAUUGCCUCGUCAAGUUUAUUGGCCUCUUAGAGCAAUUAGGGUCUUCAUUGUUUCUUUGAAGUUUGCACCUCCGUUAUUUGAUCUUGAUUAGUAACCCUCUCCAAACAUAUUUACAAGUUUUGAAUCAUUCAGAGAGUUAUUCUUUUGAGAGCUAACGAGUGAGGUUAUUAUUAUUUUUUUUCUUUCUUGUUCUUGUUUGUUUGAUCUUUCACAGAUACCAUGCCGCUCACUAGAUCCCAAACUAGUAAAAAUGAAGAGGAUGAACAAAAAAGAGAGAACGAUCCUUUGGUCGAGUUGUUACAAAAAGCGAUGAAAAAGUUGCAAACUCAAUUCGAACAUCGCAUGACCCAGAUGUUACAAGAGCAAAGGGAGUAUCUUAAUACAAAACUUACAACUCAAGAGAGAUACAUUGCCGAUAAUUACAAGAAGUUGAACGAAGCCUUUAUAAGCCGAUCAAAUUCGCGAGAUCAAACUUUUAAACGAAGGGAGGACCAUGUUUUUGAUGAUGACUUUGAGUCCGAGUAUGUACCUAGAGAAAGGGUGGAACGAAACAAUGACACCCCCAAACCAAAAUUUCCUUCUUUCUCAGGGAAGAAUGAUCCUGAUGCUUACCUUGAUUGGGAGGAAAAGAUGGAAGCAGUCUUUGCUUGUUAAAAUUACUCUGAUGAGAAAAAGGUAACAUACGCUGUCGCUGAGUUCAUUGAUUAUGCACUAACAUGGUGGAAUCAAUUAUGUAAAAGCAGGAUUCUUUAUAGAGAGCAACCUGUUACUACUUGGGUUGAAAUGAAGCGCAUCUUGCGAAAAUGGUUUGUUCCACCAUACUAUUAUCGAGAACUCCAUCAAAGACUCCAACAUCUUGCUCAAGGAGAUAGAUCUGUGGAUGACUACUACAAAGAGAUGGAGACUAUUUAGAUUAGAGUCAAUCUUGUUGAAGAGGCUGAGGUAACUAUGGCUAGAUUCCUUGCCGGCCUAAAGCCUGAGAUUGCAAAUCGAGUUGAGUUACAACACUACAUGGAUGUUGAAGAGAUGCUUCAAACCGCACUCAACAUUGAAAAGCAAUUAUGAAAGAAAGGGACACCGAGGGGUGCUAGUUCAGUUUCUAAUCCUGCUUGGAGAGAAAAUUGGCAAAAACAAGAUGAUAGAUUGUGGAAUGGGAGAGAUGCACGGUUCAAGCCAAAUGAGCCUAGAACUUACUCCAAAGAUAGAGGUAUGCCUAAUUCAUUUAAAGGUUCUACUUCUACUAAUCAAGCUCCAUCUUCUUCUUCUACUUCUCCUAGUGCCAUUAAGCAGCCAAAAGAUAUUACCUGCUUCAAAUGCCAAGGAAUGGGUCACUAUGCUCGAGAAUGCCCUAAUAAAAAGUCAUUGGUGAUUCGAGAAGAUGGCGAGGUUGAUUUUGAGUCUGAUAACGAAUUUGAGAUGCCUCCUUUGGAAGAUGCUGAUGAUGUGCAUGCUCAUGAUGAGUAUGAAGAAUACUUAGAGUAUGGUGAGAAAGCACUUGUUGCUCGAAGGGCUUUAAAUGUCCAGUUUAAAGAGGAAGGGCGCGAACAAAGGGAUAACAUUUUCCACACGAGAUGUUUGAUUGGUGGACAACUUAGUUCAUUGAUCAUCGAUAGUGGAAGUUGCACCAAUGUGGCGAGUUCUUCCCUUAUUGAGAAACUUGGCCUACCUUGUGUGAAGCAUCCAAGGCCAUACCGCUUGCAAUGGCUGAAUGAUAGUGGGGAGGUAAAAGUAUCUAAACAAUGCUUAGUUUCAUUUUCCAUUGGUAGAUACUCUGAUGAAGUUUUGUGUGAUGUUGUUCCAAUGCAAGCUGGGCACAUAUUACUUGGACGGCCAUGGCAGUUUGAUCGACGAGUAAAUCAUGAUGGUUUCCUUAACCAAUACACAUUUGUCUUCCUUGGAAAGAAGUUUACUUUGGCUCCACUUCCUCCUCAAGAAGUCUACAAUGAUCAACUCAAACUUGCUAAUGAGAUGGGUAAGGGAAGUGAGGUAAAAUCAUUGAAAAAGGCUGAGAGUAAAGAGACCCUUAGUGUUAAAAGCCAACUUAAAGGCCCAACAUUGGUGAGUGAUUGCACACACAAGUCACGAGAUGAGAGAGUGAGUUUAUUCGCUAGGUUUCGAGAUAUCAAAUUUUCUCUUUGUAUAAAACAAACAUUUGUAAUUAUUAGGUUUAGGGAAAACUUUGUUUUGACUAACCCUAAUACACAAUUGCCUAGUUGUUUUGUUGAUCUUUUACAGGAUUUUAAGGAUGUAUUUCCUUUUGAAAUGCCUAAGGGAUUACCUCCUUUACGAGGGAUUGAACAUCAAAUUGACUUUGUGCCUGGUUCGAGUAUUCCGAAUAGACCAAUCUAUCGAAGCAAUCCUGAAGAAACUAAGGAGUUGCAAAGGCAAGUUGAAGAUCUCUUAGAGAAAGGGUUGAUUCGUGAGAGUCUAAGCCCUUGUGCGGUCCCUGUACUUCUCGUCCCAAAAAAAGAUGAUUCUUGGAGAAUGUGUGUUGAUUGUCGUGCUGUCAACAAGAUUACGGUAAAGUAUCGACAUCCAAUUUCUCGAUUAGAUGAUAUGUUGGAUGAGCUUAAUGGUGCAUGCAUUUUCUCUAAAAUUGACUUAAAAAGUGGUUACCAUCAAAUAAGAAUGAAACAAGGUGAUGAAUGGAAAACUGCUUUUAAGACUAAGUAUGGCCUGUAUGAGUGGUUAGUCAUGCCAUUUGGCUUAACUAAUGCUCCUAGCACAUUCAUGAGAUUAAUGAACCACAUACUUAGACCUUUUUUAGGAAAAUUUGUCGUUGUGUAUUUUGAUGACAUACUGAUUUAUAGUAAAACUUUGAAUGAUCAUGUUGGGCAUGUUAAAUUAGUAUUGGAUAUGUUAAGGCAUGAACGACUCUUUGCUAAUAUUGAAAAAUGCACAUUUUGUAUGGAUAAGCUUGUUUUUUUUUUGGUUUUGUGAUAAGUUCUACAGGAAUCCAUGUGGAUGAGGAGAAGGUAAAGGCAAUUAAAGAAUGGCCUAUCCCUAAAACUGUUUCUGAGGUAAGGUCUUUCCUUGGGUUAGCCGGUUUCUACCGCAGGUUUGUUUGCAACUUUUCCACAAUUGCUUCGCCUUUGACUGCACUUAUUAAAAAGGAUGUAUCUUUUCAUUAGACAUAUAAGCAAGAAUUAGCAUUUAAUGAACUUAAAGAUAAAUUGUGUAAUGCUCCUAUUCUUGUUUUACCUAAUUUUGAAAAGACCUUUGAGAUGGAAUGUGAUGCUUCUGGUGUAGGUAUAGGUGCCGUCCUCAUGCAAGAUAGUAAACCACUAGCCUACUUUAGUGAGAAACUUGGUGGAGCACAUUUGAACUAUUCGACCUAUGAUAAAGAGUUGUAUGCCUUGGUAAGGGCAUUAGAAGUUUGGCAACAUUACCUUUUACCAAAGGAGUUUGUGAUUCACACUGACUAUGAAUCACUUAAGCACUUAAAGGGAUAAGGUGAACAAGCGACAUGCUAGGUGGGUUGAAUUCAUUGAAUCUUUUUCUUAUGUUAUAAGGUAUAAGAAAGGUAAAGAUAAUAUUGUGGCUGAUGCUCUAUCAAGGGGGUACACUUUACUUAGUACAUUGCAUACUAAGUUAUUAGGUUUUGAGUAUCUCAAAGAUUUAUAUGCCACUGAUUCUGAUUUUGCAAGCAUUUAUGACGCAUGUGAACGUGGUGCAUUUCACAAAUUUUAUAAGCACGAUGGCUAUCUUUUUCGAAAUAAUAGACUAUGCUUACCAAAGUGUUCAAUGCGAGAAUUGUUGGUUCGAGAGGCUCAUAGUGGUGGUCUUAUGGGUCAUUUUGGAGUCACUAAGACUUAUGAUGUUUUACAUGAGCAUUUUUAUUGGCCUAACAUGCGAAAACUUGUUGAGAAAAUUUGUUCUACUUGCAUUACUUGUAAACAAGCUAAAUCCACUAUGAUGCCUCAUGGUUUAUAUACUCCUCUUCCUGUUCCUAGUUCACCUUGGACUAACAUUUCAAUGGAUUUUGUAAUAGGUUUACCAAGGACAAAGCGUGGACGAGAUAGCAUCUUUGUGGUUGUGGAUUGAUUUUCUAAAAUGGCUCAUUUCAUUCCAUGCCAUAAGACUGAUGAUGCAACCCAUGUUGCCGAUCUAUUUUUCCGUGAAGUUGUGAGAUUACAUGGAAUCCCAAGGACUAUUGUUUCCGAUAGAGAUGCAAAAUUUCUUAGUCACUUUUGGAAGGUAUUAUGUGGUAAGUUAGGUACUAAACUACUUUACUCUACUACAUGCCACCCUCAAACUGAUGGUCAAACCGAGGUGCUAAAUCGAGUUUGGGGAUCUUUGCUUAGAGCCGUAAUGGGUAAGAAUGUUAAAUCUUGGGAAAAAUGGAUACCCUAUGUUGAGUUUGCUUAUAAUCGUUCUGUUCAUUCUUCCACAGGUUUUACUCCUUUUGAUAUUGAAUAUGGCUUUAAUCCACUUACUGCUUUAGAUUUGCUUCCUUUACCUUUGAAUGAGAUUGCUAAUUUAGAUGGUGAAAGGAAAGCUGACUUAGUGAAAGAGAUCCAUGAGAAGGCUCGUAAAGCCAUUGAGAAAAAGAAUGAGUCCAAUGCACAUCGAGCUAAUAAAGGGCGAAAGCAAGUCUUGUUUGAACCUGGAGAUUGGGUAUGGGUGCAUAUGAGGAAGGAACGAUUUCCUUCUAAGAGAAAGAAUAAACUUGAUGCACGAGAAGAUGGACCAUUCCAAGUACUCGAGAAAAUAAAUGACAAUGCUUAUCGCAUUGAUCUUCCUGGUGAGUAUGGUGUUAGUGAUACUUUCAAUGUUUCUGAUCUUUCUCCUUUUGAAUUUGAUGUAGGUUCAGAUUCGAGGACGAAUCUUCUUGAAGAGGGGGAGAAUGAUACGAGCCAAAGAGGUGACACUCAAGGGGUUGUUUUUCCUAGUGGUCCAAUCACUCGAAGAAAGGCACGACAAUUAAAAUCAAAGAUGAAUGCUUUUGUCCAAGACUUUGUUGCUACAAAUUUAAUUCAUCAUGUUCGUGACGUUGACAAAUACGAGAAUGCAAUUCACUGGACCAAUCUUGGAAUAGUGAAAGCCCGUAAAUUGGUGGAUUAAUCUUUUAUGUAUCUUAUUAUUAUUAUUUACUUAAUUCUCAUUGGUUGGGACACAUCACUUAUGAGUUUUAAGUAAUUUUAUUGGCUAGGUUAUUAUUUAUUUAUUUUUUUAGAUAAUUUUAAAGAGUUUUAUUAGGAUUCAAUUAUUUAUUUUCUUAGAUAAUUUUAAAGAGUUUUAUUAGGGUUCAAUUACUCUUGUCUUUUGGCUAUAAAUAGGCUUGCUUUCUACACAUUGAAGGAGGAAUAAAAAAAAAGAGUAUUUGUUUUCUUUCAAAUUUGUGUGAGGCAAAUUUUUUUGAGUAGAGUGAUUCUUCUCUUGCUAUUUAGUUUGGAGUUUGUUUCUUUCGAGGGUAUUUCGGAGUUACAAAUAUUCAAAUUUCUUUCCUGUUCAUCGGUGUUUCUAAAUGUUUUUCUUCUAUGGGUUUCGUAGGGAGCCGCUCAAUCAUUGGCCUUUUUGGUUACAAGUUAACCAAGGGUUCUAUAGGGCAAAUCUGUUUUUUUUAUUACUAUUAUUUAACUAAUUUUAUUUAUUCUCGUUUUUUAUUUCUAAUUUGUGUUUCUCUUGUGUCUAGAUCCGGGAUUCCGCAUCCAAACCACCCAACAGAUUAACACACACACCAAGGUUCAAUGGAUUACAAGUACCAUAAUAGCUUUGAGCACUACCAUCGUUGGGAAACUUGUAUCCAGGACGGAUAACAACAGGGUUCCGAGAUUUUGUGGGGUAAGAAGAACCAUUAGGAUUAUUAUCAACAUUGUAAGAGCUUACUAAAGCAAAAGAAGAAAAGGUUAAGAGAGAAGAAAAGAGCAGUUGAUGACUUAACCUUUGAAGUCAUUUUUCCAAUAGAGAAUAAUUUGAUUUCACUGAGAAAAUGGACUGCUUCUUACGAUGAAGGUGAUGAAGUGAUCAAAGGGAUUUUAUAGAAC